rnacentral:rRNA from 1 species
GACGAACCGUGCGAACGUUGUUCGGAAUCACUGGGCUUAAAGGGCGCGUAGGCGGGCUGACAAGUCUGGGGUGAAAUCCCGCGGCUCAACCGUGGAACUGCCUUAGAUACUGUCGGCCUCGAGGAAGGUAGGGGCAUGCGGAACUGUAGGUGGAGCGGUGAAAUGCGUUGAUAUCUACAGGAACUCCGGUGGCGAAAGCGGCGUGCUGGACCUUUUCUGACGCUGAGGCGCGAAAAGCUAGGGGAGCAAACGGGG